rnacentral:rRNA from 1 species
UACGGAGGGGGCUAGCGUUGUUUCGGAAUUACUGGGCGUAAAGCGCACGUAGGCGGCUUUGUAAGUUAGAGGUGAAAGCCCGGGGCUCAACUCCGGAAUUGCCUUUAAGACUGCAUCGCUAGAAUUGUGGAGAGGUAAGUGGAAUUCCGAGUGUAGAGGUGAAAUUCGUAGAUAUUCGGAAGAACACCAGUGGCGAAGGCGACUUACUGGACACAUAUUGACGCUGAGGUGCGAAAGCGUGGGGAGCAAACAGG